rnacentral:rRNA from 1 species
UACAGAGGGUGCGAGCGUUAAUCGGAAUUACUGGGCGUAAAGGGCGCGUAGGUGGUUAUGUAAGCUAGAUGUGAAAUCCCUGGGCUUAACCUAGGAAGGUCAUCUAGGACUGCAUAACUGGAGUACGGUAGAGGGUAGUGGAAUUUCCGGUGUAGCGGUGAAAUGCGUAGAUAUCGGAAGGAACACCAGUGGCGAAGGCGGCUACCUGGACUGAUACUGACACUGAGGCGCGAAAGCGUGGGGAGCAAACAGG